CAGCAGCCGCGGUAAAACGGAGGGUGCAAGCGUUAAUCGGAAUUACUGGGCGUAAAGCGUGCGUAGGCGGUUCGUUAAGUCUGUUGUGAAAGCCCCGGGCUCAACCUGGGAAUGGCAAUGGAUACUGGCGAGCUAGAGUGUGUCAGAGGAUGGUGGAAUUCCCGGUGUAGCGGUGAAAUGCGUAGAGAUCGGGAGGAACAUCAGUGGCGAAGGCGGCCAUCUGGGACAACACUGACGCUGAGGCACGAAAGCGUGGGGAGCAAACAGGAUUAGAUACCCGUGUAGUCCCUGUCUCUUAUAC
rnacentral:rRNA from 1 species